rnacentral:rRNA from 1 species
AGCCUAGCGCUAAGGCUUGACGUGGUUGUCGCAAGGCAAUCAAUACUACAACGUCAAGCGGUGCAGCGUUACAAACUUUGGUGUUUAGUGGUGUCGAUGUAGUGUUCAGUUCGCUGGAUGCUGCUUUCGGCCUAGCGUGCAAGUCCCAUUGACUUGGGCUUAUUCUUAAUUGAGAUGUCUACGGGUUUGGGGCAACUUGGAUCCGUGGAUGAGCCAGAGAGGGUGAAAGUCCCUUAACGCGCAGGUAUUGAUGCCACGAACCAGAGCAGUGGCGUCCGGUAAAACGGGCGUUGCGAUUGUUAGAGUCGGGUUGCUUGAGAGUGCAACCUAAAGAGCGAGGUAAACUGCUCGUAAGGCUACGUAAAUACGGCUACGACACCGAUAGCAAACAAGUACCGUGAGGGAAAGUUGCAAAGUACUUUGAAGAGAGAGUUAAACAGGGCGUGAAACCGCUAGCUGGUAAACGAGUGGAGCCACGAAGUCGUUUCGUAGAACACGGGGCGCAGAUUCAGCUGGGGUCUACCAAGGCUCUUGCGUAUUUCUGCUUGUUCCGCUACUGUAAGCGUACACUGCAACCAAUUAGACGGCUAAUCGUGGAAAUAGUUCGCCAGUUGACAGGGAAACUUGUUGCUGGUGGGCGCCAAAUUUGUGUAUUCACUGUAGGUAGCCUGGAUGAGGUCUUGUAUUUCAUCUGGGUGUAUGACAUUCGUGGAUGCGUGAACUACGAUUAGGUACUGAUUGGCACAAUGAAAAUCGAACCGCAAGGUUCGUACAUUCAUAGAAAGCGGCUAGCAUCGUAACUGGGUACAAUUGCACGCCGCUAGUAUAAGCCUGGCAUUUUUGAAUUCAGGCGCUUGCAUUAUCAGCGGGCUUGCUUGUUGAUAUGCAUGUCGUUUCCUGUCUAAUCGGGUGUCAACUUUGCUGGCGGUUUUGUGUAGUUGCUGCGAUAGCACCGGAUGCGAUAGUUAGUUUGCGAGUAUUGGCAGUGAGUAGGUCGGCUUUCCACACGACCCGUCUUGAAACACGGACCAAGGAGUCUAGUUAAGUAUCGAGUCGAUCGGUCUUGAUUAGGCCAGACAUUGAGAGUGCCGCAAGGCAAAGCUUUCAAACUAUAAAUGACGGCAAAGUGAAAUCAAAUCAUAUGUGAUCUGAGGUCUAUAACAAUGGCCUACAGCGCAACAUAUGCCCAUUCGUAUGGUUAUACGCGCAAGUGUUAACCGAAUGGAGCAAAGAGAUACUUGACUGGUACCCGAAAGAUGGUGAACUAUUCCUGGCCAGAUUGAAGCCAGAGGAAACUCUGGUGGAGGAUUGUAGCGAUUCUGACGUGCAAAUCGAUCGUCAGAGCUGGGUAUAGGGGCGAAAGACUAAUCGAACCAUCUAGUAGCUGGUUCCCUCCGAAGUUUCCCUCAGGAUAGCAAGCUCUCGCAGAAAUGUGAAUCAGUUUCAUCUGGUAAAGCGAAUGAUUAGAGGCCUUGGGAGCGAAACGCUCUCAACCUAUUCUCAAACUUUAAAUGGGUGAGAUGUGCGACGUACUUAACUGACGCCGCAUUCACGAGAAUGUAUUGAGAGCUUAGUGGGCCAUUUUUGGUAAGCAGAACUGGCGAUGCGGGAUGAACCGAAAGUGAAGUUAAGGUUGCCGAUAAUGGUGUUAACAAUUGUGCACUAGCUACACUCAUGAGAUCCCAUGAAAGGUGUAAGUUGCUAAAGACAGCAAGGACGUGGCCAUGGAAGUCGGAAACAUCUAAGGAGUGUGUAACAACUCACUUGCCGAAGCAACUUGCCCUGAAAAUGGAAGCAGCUCGAGUGUUGAACCUAUACUUCACCGUUGAAUUAUCGUUCGUAUAACAAGCGAUUAGUUAUGAUUCAACGUGUAGGAGGGUUGUGUUGGUAGCGUUGAAGGCUAUGAGGGAGUGAUCCUGGCUGGAGCUGCCAAUAGUACAGAUCUUGGUGGUAGUAGCAAAUACUCAAGUGAGACCCUUGAGGGCCAAUGUGGAGAAGGGUUCCAUGCUAACAGCAAUUGGACAUGGGUCAGUCGGUCCUAAGAGAAUGGCGAAAGCUAUUUCUGAAUCAAAGGCAGUGUAAACCAAACACAACAAACAUAAAGUUGUUCUCUCUAAGUUGUGUGUUUAUAUGCUUCGCAUUGAACGGCCGGAAGUGCUGGUGAAUGUGCAAACAUCCACAAUCUAAAGGCGCGACCAGACGGCAAGUAUAUUUACGGCAACAUUUAUAAAUGGAGGAACAUACAUUAAGUGUGAAUGAUCACUGUAUGACUCGAAAGGGAAUUAGGUUAAUAUUCCUAAACCAAGAUGGGGAGAUUGCUUGUUGUGCGGUUAUUCAUUUAGCUGUGCAACUAGCAUUGGCGGUAACGCAAACAAGCACGAUGACGCCGGCGGCAGCCCUGGGAAGAGUUGUCUUUUCUUUGUAAGUUUACUGAGUUUUUAACGAGACCUUGGAAUCGAAUCAUUCGAAGAUAAGGUCGUAGUAAACGUAAAGCAGUGCG